CAUAUCAACUUUCGAUGCCAAUGACUGCACCUACCAUGGUGACCACGGGUAACGGGGAAUCAGGGUUCGAUUCCG
rnacentral:rRNA from 1 species